rnacentral:rRNA from 1 species
AUGUCUUCCUCCGGAUCCUCCCAGAUCGGCCUCAACAACCAGGUCACGAAGAAGCUCACCCGUAUGAACUACGUACCAUGGCGCGUCCAGAUCACGCCGCAGCUAAGGGGAGCUGGCGUCUUCGGCUAUGCCGACGGCAGUACGUCGGAGCCAGCCAGCUUCCUUCCUGGCAAGGACAAGGACGGCAAGGACUCCACCGAGCCCAACCCUCUCCACCCAAUCUGGGUCCGGUAGGAUCAACAAGUGCUCGGGUACCUGCUCAACAAUCUCUCCAAAGAGGUGUUGGUGCAGGUGACCGCGAUCACCACAACGCACGCGCUGUGGACAACCCUGGCGGCCAUGUUCUCCUCGCAGUCGCUCAGCCGCAUCAACAACAUCCGCACGGCUCUCCUUCAUGCGCAGAAGGGAACUCAGCCGGUCGCCACCUUCUUCGCCCGCAUGCGCGGCCUCGCUGAUGAACUCGCCGCGGCCGACAAACCACUGCAAGAUGACGAGAUCGUCUCCUACAUCAUCCACGCGCUGGACAUGGAGUACCAGCCUCUGGUGUCGGCUCUCGAUGCUCGCACCUCCCCUGUCACCCUGGAUGAGUUGUUCACCAUGCUCAGCAACUUCGAUCAGCGCAUGGCACUCUACCAGGGUUUGGGUGGCUUCAAAUCGUCCGCUAACGCCGCUGUAGGAGAUAUGCCCUAG